rnacentral:lncRNA from 1 species
GGCUUUGUAGCCAGAAUGGAUUUCGUUCUUUUUUUUCUAACAGGUAGGAAGUCAAUGGAGGAUUUGGAGCAGAGGCACAUCCUAGUCUGUCUUGCAUUUCAGAAGGAUCUGGCUGGAGAAUGCACAGUAGAGAAUCAGGACUGGAAACAGGGUGACUGACUGGUUUGAAGCCUGUUCCAUCCCUCUAAGUAUGAGAAGAUCUUGCUUGAGAUCUUCUACAAAGAAGCAUUUUUCAAAAUUAACAAAACAAAACAAAACAAAACAAACAAACAAACAAAAAAGAAGCAUUUUUCUUCAUUAACCAGGCAGUUGUAGUAUCAAGAGCAGGACAGUUCCCUACUGUUUAGACUGUGUAAUAGUAAGCUGCUUUCAGAGAAAGCGAAAGACAUGGAUGAGGAUCCUUUUUCUCCAAAGCUCUGCCAAUUUAAAAAUUAAAACUGGUGGGAAAAUGGGAAUGAACAUUAUGGAGUUUUGUUUCAGAAUCAACUCAACAAGCCACUGGCACUUCAUUUGUUGAUCCUACCUGGAUCUAGGAUUUAUAACAUGUCUGCCAUGUUUGCAACUCCUUGGAUACAGCAUUCUAAAAAGUGUCCAUUCUCUACUUAAUCUUUUUCUGUACCUUCUUUAAAAAUGUUACAAAAAUUAACAGAGUAAGACAGAGUAGGGAUUGCAGUGUAAAUGCUUUGGACAAUCAGGUAACAGCUUUUUUUUUUUUUUUUUAAAGGUUGGGUUAACAAUUUCCAUUUUCAAAAUGAGCCCAAAUUGAGUGAGUGAUUCUAAAUUAGCUCUUUAGUUUUUACCUUACGCUGCUGAUAAUGCCACUAUUAAUUUCAAUUAUUUAGAGGCAACAUUAAUACGUGUGAAAAAAGAACAGCGAUAAAGACAGAAAGGAAUAAAUUACUUGCUGCAGGACAGAAUGACAUUUUGACUGGCACAGAGAUUUUUUUUUCUCUCACACACUUUGUGCUUUGACAUUUCACUUGGCACAAACAUUUCACAAAUUCUUGACCUAAUCUGAUGUACUGUUGUUUAGCAAUUGCUGACAUGACAUGUUUUAACCUCAAGCUUGCUGGAUUCCAAAUGUUACCUCUUCCUGUCAAUCAGGGUUGGAUGACCUCCAAAAAGCAGUCCAAGCAAAAAUCUAUGUACCUAAGAGGUUAAAUGCAUUUGCCCCAAAUGGAGAAGAGGCAGUUUGAAGUAGGAGUUGGGGGAAGGGCAGGAAGAAUGGUGUCAUUUAGGAAAAUUAUGGGGUGAAAAAAAUGUAGGAGGCAGAUCCUUAGGGAACCCUGAGAUCUGGAGAGAGACAUCAGUCCCAAACAUAGAACCUAGAAAUAAACCUAACAAGACAUACAUAGGGUCUAUAACAACAACAACAAUAACAAAAAUAGUCAACUUAGGAGUAGAAGAGAUUUCAGAUAACAGAGAAAUACAUUAUCUUCCUCAAAGGGAAGAAUGUGUUAUAUAAAAAUGUUGCUCCUUCUCAAAUUGUGGCUAUAACUUGACCAUCUCCCCUUCUCACUGCCUGUUGGUAUGGAAGAGGUUACAUUUAUAUUAAUAUCUGUGCUUUGCUGGUUUAUUAGGUCAUCUGUCUUUUGCAUCCCAAGACUUUAUUAAAAAAUAAGCCAACUCACAUUGCUUUGCUCUGAUCAGUUAGAAAUGCUUUAAAUUUGCAAGUAGAAAAACAACUUUUAG